AUACGGAGGGUGCGAGCGUUAAUCGGAAUUACUGGGCGUAAAGCGUACGUAGGCGGUUGGUUAAGUUAGAUGUGAAAGCCCCGGGCUUAACCUGGGAACUGCAUUUAAAACUGGCGAACUAGAGUUGAGUAGAGGGGAGUGGAAUUUCAGGUGUAGCGGUGAAAUGCGUAGAGAUCUGAAGGAACACCAGUGGCGAAGGCGACUCCCUGGACUCGAACUGACGCUGAGGUACGAAAGCGUGGGUAGCAAACGGGAUAGAAACCCUAGUAGUCC
rnacentral:rRNA from 1 species